CGGCCGCCGCGGUAAUACUAGCAUCCCAAGUGGCAGUCACCAUUACUGGGCUUAAAGCGUUCGUAGCUUGUCUUGACAGUCUCUGGUGAAAUCCUGCGGCUUAACCGUAGGGCUUGCCGGAGAUACUACAGGACUAGAGGACAGGAGAGGAUAGGGGUACUCUUGGGGUAGGGGUGAAAUCCUAUAAUCCUAAAAGGACCAACAGUGGCGAAGGCGCCUAUCAUGAAUGUGCCUGACAGUGAGGGACGAGAGCCAGGGUCGCGAAACGGAUUAGAUACCCGUGUAGUCCUGGCCGUAAACGAUGUUGACUAGGUGGGGUGUGAUCUUAGUGAUCAUGCUAUGCCGAAGGGAAACCGUUAAGUCAACCGCCUGGGGAGUACGUUCGCAAGAAUGAAACUUAAAGGAAUUGGCGGGGGAGCACUACAAGGGGUGGAAGCUGCGGUUUAAUUAGAUUCAACGCUGGACAUCUCACCGGAGGCGACAGCAGAAUGAAGGCCAGACUGAAGGUCUUGCCGAACACGCUGAGAGGAGGUGCAUGGCCGUCGUCAGCUCGUGCCGUAAGGUGUUAGGUUAAGUCCUAAAACGAGCGAGAUCCACGUUCUUAUUUGCUAUCAGGUCCUCCGGGGUCUGAGCACAAUAAGAAGACUGCCCGCUAUAAGUGGGAGGAAGGGGUGGGCAACGAUAGGUCCGCAUGCCCCGAAUCUUCCGGGCUACACGCGUCUUACAAUGACUGGUACAAUGAGUUGCGACCCCGAAAGGGGAAGCCAAUCUCGAAAGCCAGCCUCGGUUCGGAUUGAGGGUUGCAACUCACCCUCAUGAAAGCUGGAAUCCCUAAGUAUCGCUACUCAUUAUAUAGCGAUGAAUACGUCCCUGCCCCUUGCNCAC
rnacentral:rRNA from 1 species